GGAUGCAGGGGACUCUAUUGUUGUUGCCAUGUCCUUUUCCCACAUGCUUAACUUGGCCAACUUGGCUGAGGAGGUCUAGAUUUCUCGUCGUCGAAGGAACAAGGUGAAGAAAGGAGAUUUUGCAGAUGAGAACAAUGCAACUACAGAAUCAAACAUUGAAGAAACUCUCAAGAAACUUGUAUUUGGCUUGAAGAAGUCUCCUCAGGAAGUUUUUGAUGCAUGAAAAACCAGACUGUUGAUCUGGUUCUUACUACUCAUCCUACUCAAUCAAUUCGUAGAUCUUUGCAUCAAAAGCACGCAAGGAUAAGGAAUUCUGUCUAAAUUUUAUGCCAAAGACAUAACUCCUGAUGAUAAGCAGGAGCUUGAUGAUGCCUUGCUAAGGGAGAUUCAAGCUGGCUUCCGUACAAAUGAAAUCAAGAGGACCCCCCUAAGACCACAAGAUGAGAUGAGACCAGAGAUGAGAUACUUCCAUGAAACAAUUUAGAAUGGUGUUUCCAGAUUUCAUCAAGCAAUCUGGCAUGAUUUUU